rnacentral:rRNA from 1 species
AACCUGGUUGAUCCUGCCAGUAGUCAUAUGUUUGUCUCAAAGAUUAAGCCAUGCAUGUCUCAGAAUAAGCUUCUUUAUGGCAAAUCUGCGAAUGGCUCAUUAAAUACAGUUAUAUUCUACCCGGUGAUGGCUUUUAUACGGAUAACUGCGCUAAUUGUAGAGCUAAUACGUGCAUAAAAACCCGACUUCUUGGAAGGGUUGUAUUUAUUAAAUACAGAACCAAUCUCCUCACGGAGUGUUUAGGAUGAUUCAUAAUAAACGAACGGAGCGAAUGGCUUGCUGACCGUACGCUAGACCGGUCGAGUUUCUGACCUAUCAGUCUUUCGAUGGUGGGGUCUUGGCCCACCAUGGCUUCGACGGG